rnacentral:rRNA from 1 species
UACGUAGGGUGCGAGCGUUGUCCGGAAUUAUUGGGCGUAAAGGGCUCGUAGGCGGUUUGUCGCGUCGGGAGUGAAAUCCACUGGCUUAACUGGUGGCUUGCUUUCGAUACGGGCAGACUGGAGGUAUGCAGGGGAGAACGGAAUUCCUGGUGUAGCAGUGAAAUGCGCAGAUAUCAGGAGGAACACCGGUGGCGAAGGCGGUUCUCUGGGCAUGUCCUGACGCUGAGGAGCGAAAGUGUGGGGAGCGAACAGG